UCUCCGUUGGUGAACCAGCGGAGGGAUCAUUACAGGACUCGCAAGACUCCCGUAAACCACUGUGAACCUACCUAUUGUUGCCUCGGCGGGUGCUCGAGCUCAGCGCUCAGCCCGCCGGCGGCCCCUACCAAACCUCUUGUUUUUACAGUGUCUCCUCUGAGUUACAAACACAAAUGAAUCAAAACUUUCAACAACGGAUCUCUUGGUUCUGGCAUCGAUGAAGAACGCAGC
rnacentral:misc_RNA from 1 species